rnacentral:piRNA from 1 species
UGGUUCACAAAAUAAGUAUACAGGCCU